rnacentral:rRNA from 1 species
ACGAACGCUGGCGGCGUGCUUAACACAUGCAAGUCGAACGGAAAGGCCCUGCUUUUGUGGGGUGCUCGAGUGGCGAACGGGUGAGUAACACGUGAGUAACCUGCCCUUGACUUUGGGAUAACUUCAGGAAACUGGGGCUAAUACCGGAUAGGAGCUCCUGCUGCAUGGUGGGGGUUGGAAAGUUUCGGCGGUUGGGGAUGGACUCGCGGCUUAUCAGCUUGUUGGUGGGGUAGUGGCUUACCAAGGCUUUGACGGGUAGCCGGCCUGAGAGGGUGACCGGCCACACUGGGACUGAGAUACGGCCCAGACUCCUACGGGAGGCAGCAGUGGGGAAUAUUGCACAAUGGGCGGAAGCCUGAUGCAGCAACGCCGCGUGCGGGAUGACGGCCUUCGGGUUGUAAACCGCUUUCGCCUGUGACGAAGCGUGAGUGACGGUAAUGGGUAAAGAAGCACCGGCUAACUACGUG